GGGUCAGUAGGUUGGUCGUGCCACCGGUACGUACUGGUCUCACUGAUUCCUCCUUCCUGAAGAACCGUAAUGCCAUUAAUUUGGUGUUGCGGGGAAACAGGACUGCUACUUUGAAAAAAUUAGAGUGUUUAAAGCAAACUAACGCUUGAAUACAUUAGCAUGGAAUAAUGAAAUAGGACGAUCGAUCCUAUUUUGUUGGUUUCUAGGAUUGACGUA
rnacentral:rRNA from 1 species